rnacentral:sRNA from 1 species
UAGAGCGAAUGAAGCAAAGAUGGAAAGAAGCCCCCAAGCACAUUAAGGAGACCUAUGGACAGCAGUAUUUUGAUGCCUGUGAUAGGAGCCUUGUGGGAGUGGGACUUGUCAAUUUCCUAUAAGAAUAUUAUUCUGAAGACCUGGAGGAGGAGGUGGCAGCAGCGGUUAGAAGCAUGGGAAUGACUUCUAAUAGUUUACAGUAUCAUGAAGGAAGGGCUGUUGAAUUGUAGCACAAACCUGAACCUGGUCACUGACUGCAUGGAACAUGCUCUGACAUCGGUGCAUCCGCGAACUCGAUAUUCAGCUGGCUGGGAUGCUAAAUUUUUCUUCAUCCCUCUAUCUUAUUUACCUACAUCACUGGCAGACUACAUUUUGACUAGAUCUUGGCCCAAACCAGCCCAGGCAGUCUAAAGA